rnacentral:rRNA from 1 species
UACGGAGGGAGCGAGCGUUGUUCGGAAUUACUGGGCGUAAAGGGCUCGUAGGCGGCCAACUAAGUCAGACGUGAAAUCCCUCGGCUUAACCGGGGAACUGCGUCUGAUACUGGAUGGCUAGAGGUUGGGAGAGGGAUGCGGAAUUCCAGGUGUAGCGGUGAAAUGCGUAGAUAUCUGGAGGAACACCGGUGGCGAAGGCGGCAUCCUGGACCAAUUCUGACGCUGAUGAGCGAAAGCCAGGGGAGCAAACGGG